UACGUAGGGUGCGAGCGUUGUCCGGAAUUAUUGGGCGUAAAGAGCUUGUAGGUGGUUUGUCGCGUCUGCUGUGAAAAUCCGAGGCUCAACCUCGGACUUGCAGUGGGUACGGGCAGACUAGAGUGUGGUAGGGGAGACUGGAAUUCCUGGUGUAGCGGUGGAAUGCGCAGAUAUCAGGAGGAACACCAAUAGCGAAGGCAGCUCGCUGGGACGUUACUGACACUAAGGCGCGAAAGCGUGGGGAGCGAACAGG
rnacentral:rRNA from 1 species